GAGCCAGUUGUUUGCGAAUAGUUUGCCAGUGGCCGGUGCAGUGUUGUGCCGCUUCUGGCACGGGCAACGUGUGCGUUGCAAUCGUGCCUUCGGGCACGGUUGAGACGCAUCCAAAAAAUUUUCUCGUUGUCGUCGAAGCCAGCCAGCAAAAGAAUCGUUAACUCAAAUAAAAUCUUGAAUCUUGGCUAUGGCUCCCAAGUCAAAGUCUGGGAAUUUUUGGCUUCCUGCUGUUGACGACUGGCAACCACCGGAUUUUCUACAUCAUCAUCAACCAGAAAUCAUAGCCAGAAACAGCCACUAGCCAACUUGGACACCGGCGGCGCCUAAGACGGUAUCCAAGGAAAAAAAUCAGCGCCCAAAGAAACGUAAAAAUGGAAUGGCCAAUUUGGUGACAACGCAUCCAGGAGCUUCUUAAGAAGGAGGCGGAAGACAAUUACUCACCUCGUUCCCGUGGACAUUCUUCAAGAGCUCGAGAAUUCUUUUUGUAUUCCUGCUGCCUAUAGCCGGCCAACUGGCUAUGGCCCAAGAUCCCAACCACGGUUAUUAGCCCACACCGUGACCAUUUAUCAACAAUAUUUGGUCUACCGCUAGUUGAGUGUUAACCGCCAAACUAUCGUCGUUGGGAUAUGCCUGAUACGUUGCACCAAAGGAUCAUCAUCAAAUUACUCCAACAGCGAGUAAAGCUAGUAGUUGAAAGCCAGUUACAUUACCAGCAAUAAAAUAUGAUAAAAUAGAUGUUUGUGUACUAAGUGUUUGGAAAUAGUUCAGUUAGUUGUCUAGUGCAUAUUGAAUUAACAGUUUUACCCAAUCGCGAAUCUUCGAAUUGGUAGUAAAUCGUAGUAGCUACAGAUCCCAUAAAGUAACCGAAAACCAGUUAAGAAUAAGAUACAAACAAUAGUGACUUUAAAUCUGCUAAUAAAUAACUUUAAACUAUACGUAAUCGCAUUGCUAUCUGAAAUUAUGUAAACCUAAUCUAAAUACAGUUAGAUAAUAUGCAAGUCACCGAAAGAAAUCCCCUAAAAUAUAGCAAAUAAUAAUCAUGAAAGCUUAAUUUAACUUCAUCAUAGAAUUGUGCUUCUAUCAGCAAAGCGCCGAUUUAAAUGCUUCAACCUAGAGCAUGAGAAUCUAUCUAAAAUGAGUGGAGGAAAGCCGAUUUCUAAACAGAAUAAAUACAGAUAAUUGCCAACAAUAGAAUCAGAUGGAACAACUCAUCGCAUUAAAAAUAUCGCCAGUAGAACAGGUGCGAUCCGUCCUUGGUACUGACCACACCAUCUACGGAUUUCGAAGAAGCUUGUUGUGAAUCCGACGAUUAGGAUGGCGAAAUCCUCCGGUUCAUAACAUACCUUAUCAACUGCUCCUGUGAUCAUGGUCAUUAUCUAUUGCCGACGUUUUUGUGCACUGUGAAAGCUUGAAGGACACUGACCUGUAGAUUGGACUUCGACCAACUAAUCUACGCUCAGUUCUUGUAAGUGGCACUCACAAGCCAUCCUGAUUCGUUCGUAGCCAAUUGUCAAAUAAAGAUAUGUCAUUAAAUUUAAAUAAUAUCAAAUAUAAUGCUUUGGCUUCGUUCAAACGGUAAUAUUGAAUAUUAAAUAAUAAACUGUAAUUGAUUUUAUUUGUAAAUAUUGGAAAAUUAGAAAGCAAUUUCAUACAUGCAAUGCUUUUCGAAAUAGUUACGCAUUAAAUACAUGUAUAUUAUUACUUAAUAAUUACUGUAAUCGAUAGAGUUAUGGCAUAAAUAAAUAACAGUAGGGUUCGAAGGAA